UACGUAGGGUGCGAGCGUUAAUCGGAAUUACUGGGCGUAAAGCGUGCGCAGGCGGUUUUGUAAGCCAGAUGUGAAAUCCCCGGGCUCAACCUGGGAACUGCAUUUGUGACUGCACGGCUAGAGUGUGUCAGAGGGGGGUAGAAUUCCACGUGUAGCAGUGAAAUGCGUAGAUAUGUGGAGGAAUACCGAUGGCGAAGGCAGCCCCCCUGGGAUGACACUGACGCUCAUGCACGAAAGCGUGGGGAGCAAACAGG
rnacentral:rRNA from 1 species